rnacentral:rRNA from 1 species
GACGAGCGCUGGCGGCGUGCCUAAUACAUGCAAGUUGAGCGCUGAAGGUUGGUACUUGUACCGACUGGAUGAGCAGCGAACGGGUGAGUAACGCGUGGGGAAUCUGCCUUUGAGCGGGGGACAACAUUUGGAAACGAAUGCUAAUACCGCAUAAAAACUUUAAACACAAGUUUUAAGUUUGAAAGAUGCAAUUGCAUCACUCAAAGAUGAUCCCGCGUUGUAUUAGCUAGUUGGUGAGGUAAAGGCUCACCAAGGCGAUGAUACAUAGCCGACCUGAGAGGGUGAUCGGCCACAUUGGGACUGAGACACGGCCCAAACUCCUACGGGAGGCAGCAGUAGGGAAUCUUCGGCAAUGGACGAAAGUCUGACCGAGCAACGCCGCGUGAGUGAAGAAGGGUUUCGGAUCGUAAAACUCUGUUGGUAGAGAAGAACGUUGGUGAGAGUGGAAAGCUCAUCAAGUGACGGUAACUACCCAGAAAGGGACGGCUAACUACGUG